rnacentral:misc_RNA from 1 species
GAUGAAGAACGUAGCGAAAUGCGAUAAGUAAUGUGAAUUGCAGAAUUCAGUGAAUCAUCGAAUCUUUGAACGCACAUUGCGCCCAUUAGCAUUCUAGUGGGCAUGCCUGUUCGAGCGUCAUUUCAACCCUUAAGCCCUGUUGCUUAGCGUUGGGAGCCUACAGUACUGUAGCUCCCCAAAGUUAGUGGCGGAGUCGGUUUCACACUCUAGACGUAGUAAUUUUUUCUCGUCUGUAGUUGAGCCGGUCCCCUGCCGUAAAACACCCAAUUUAUCAAGGUUGACCUCAGAUCAGGUAGGAAUACCCGCUGAACUUAAGCAUAUCAAUAAGCGGAGGA